AUCUCUGUGGUCAACAAUAUUGUUAUGCCCGAGGUCAGAGGUGGAAAUUAACGAAUUACAUUUACUCACGUUAUUGUAAUUGAGUAUUUUUUUGUGUAUGUAUACUUUUUUAGUCGUUUUGAAUAUCUGUACUUUCACUUUUACUUGAGUAUUUUAUAAAAAAAAACAAUUGUAAUUCGCUACAUUUUAAAUCGUAUCUGUUACUAAGUAAAAAUAAAUUGUAGACUUAAUAAAUUAAAAAUAUUGCAUGUCGCAGCGUGGGAACAGAAAGAGACACCUGCACGAGCGCCACGUCUAAACGGGGGGUGGGGGGUGUAUACACUUGAUAAUGAGGACAAACAGCUAUCUUUACCGAGUUUUGCUCAAAAACCUCAGUUCUGUCCUUGUGAUCCACACUCGCUGUUUACCUCCUGUCUCCCUCCUCUCCUGUGGGUUGGAACUCGCACCUUCGCGCACCGGUGUGACGUCAUCAGAAUUCUGCUCCGUUCGGUAGCCGGACUCGGUUCCGUGUUUGAAAUGUGUUUCCUUUCCGCUCCGCACGGCAGCGUCAAAAUAACGUUUAGCGCUCAUAACAAGCGGGUUCUCAGCGCUUUGCUCAUAAAACAGAAGACCUGCAGGCCUCUCUAGAAGAGAAUCCAAGGAUCAUGCAGAGAUGCCAGAGGUUUGGCCUUUGCACGAUGAAGUCUAGAACUUCAGGAGGAACAGCGGAGUGCUGCUGUCAAUAUUCUAAGACUUAUACAUGACCCGCUGACCAGCCACAUGGAGAUGGUGACCGAGAUCGUUGUUCCCACCGUGUGCACACUCUGUAUUCUGCUCAGCGCCAUCUUCCUUCUGUUCCUGCUGAGAAGAAGAAACUAGAAAGUGUGUGUGUGUGUGUGUGUGUGUGUGUGUGUGUGUGUGUGUGUGUGUGUGUUUACAAUCAUAGUUUGUACAAACUCACAUGGAUGCAGUGGAAGUGCAACAUUUCUUUAAUUUUAUUUGUGAAAGGAUGAAUAAGUUUCUGAAGUGAAUUUAAACCACUAAUCUGAUGACUUUACAGUGUUUUGAUGUUUUAGUUCAGCUGCAACAUGCAAAAUGACCUUUUCUGUUUUUAUUUUGUUUAAAUGUGGAGUACUGUUAUUGCAACCAUGUAAUCUACAGUCUAAAUUAAACAGAGUUUAGCUUUCUAAAUGAAUAAUGUGGUAAAUGAACUAGAAAAUAAACGUCAUCACCUACGAAACAGAAACUCUUCACUGAAAACACAAACACACACAUAGAUCCAGCUGUGGUCGCUCCAGGUUCGAUGGAAUGAUUUCAGUCCAUCUAGAUUGAACUGUUAAUAUUUCAAACAAUGUUCAAUACUAUUAAGAAUAUUAAACACAAACAUCUACUUUGUUGUUCAGUUAUUUUGUGCUUUGUAAAUUCAUACAAAGCUGACGAAGCUGCAGCACACCACUGUGGAAAAACAGCCGGCUCCUCCAUGUCCCCGUUGAUCGCUUCACUUGGGUAAUCUAAAACCGAGAAGAUUAAAGUCAGAUGUGCUUCACUGGUUCAGUCACUACUAGUGUUCUUUUAUUUGAAUAUUUUAAAAAACCCACCUGUUUUAAAGGUGACGGGAGCCACCAGUGGUCUGUUACUGAGCUGUAAGGACGUCCGAACCUCACGAGGACCUUGACCGCUGGACACUUCAGCCCCCCACAUCAUUGGGUGUUCGUUGCAGAAACGAUGCAUUAACACAAAAACAAGCUAAGGACAAUUGGCUCAUUUGAGCAAAAAGACACAAAAGCAAAAGUAUUUAGUUUAUGAAUGAGAUUAACCUUCAAUUAAAAAAAUGCUCUGCUUCAUUCUUUUUCUCAACAAAAAUAAUGUCUAAAUUCUCCAUCUACUUAUUAAAAUAAGAUUU